AAGACAAUACAGUAAAUAGUGAAUUGUGAGAUGCAGCCAAGCUUGUAGAAAAUAACUAUUUGAGGGAUGGCGCAUGAACUGAAUGCUGUAAUUUUGACAGCUGGCAAGGUGUGGUGAGGCGGGAGCCGGGGUGAAACCUCGUAUCUCAAGACCGUUGAUGAAUGACUCUAAUUAAGGGAUGAAAUCAAGCAUGUGAAGACAGGGGAUCGCUUUAGGUCGCUGUUUGGUAGUUUUCUGCUCCCGGUGCCGGACUCAUCCAUCUAAAUAUCACUGUUUUUUGCUCUCUUCUGAGUGCUGGAGGAGGGGCAGAGGAGUUCUGAUGGGUCAGGGACAGACAGGAGGCUUGGUUGCAGGCCAGCAAGGAGAAAGUUAAUAGCCUGGGCUUAGAAGUCAGCCUGCUCAAGUCCAAAUUACAGGAAAAGACAGAACAAUCUCAACAGCUGCAAGAUCAAAUUCUCAAACAGCAGGAGGCUCUAUAUAGGGCAAGCCAAACUCUCAAAGACACCAGGAAAGCAGCUGGCAAUAAGGUAAAAAGAGCCUCUCUCUCUUUCUCGCUCACUCUCUCACCCCUCCUUCCAUAAAAGAAGAAAAAAAAAAGUGUCUCUGAACUUCUCUCCUCCCCUGUGAUGCUGAAUUCCCAUGAUGUGUUGUUUAGAAGAAUACGGAGUCUAUUACACAAAUUUUAUAGUGUCUUAUCUAAAU
ensembl:lncRNA